rnacentral:rRNA from 1 species
AUUGAACGCUGGCGGCAGGCCUAACACAUGCAAGUCGAGCGAGCGGCGGACGGGUGAGAAUGUCCGGGAAACUUCCUGGUGGAGGGGGAUAACCACUGGAAACGGUAACUAAUACCGCCUUCCCUCCACUGUUCCCCGAUGGGAUUAGCUAGUAGGUGGGGUAACGGCUCACCUAGGCGACGAUCCCUAGCUGGGCUGAGAGGAUGACCAGCCACACUGGAACUGAGACACGGUCCAGACUCCUACGGGAGGCAGCAGUGGGGAAUAUUGGACAAUGGGCGCAAGCCUGAUACAGCCAUGCCGCGUGUAUGAAGAAGGCCUUCGGGUUGUAAAGUACUUUCAGCGGGGAGGCGUUACCCGCAGAAGAAGCACCGGCUAACUCCGUGCCAGCAGCCGCGGUAAUUC